UACGGAGGGUGCGAGCGUUGUCCGGAAUCACUGGGCGUAAAGGGCGCGUAGGCGGCCUGAUAAGUAGGGGGUGAAAUCCUGCGGCUUAACCGCAGGGCUGCCUUCUAAACUGUCGGGCUCGAGCACGGUAGAGGCAGAUGGAAUUCCCGGUGUAGCGGUGGAAUGCGUAGAGAUCGGGAAGAACAUCAGUGGCGAAGGCGGUCUGCUGGGCCGAUACUGACGCUGAGGAGCGAAAGCAUGGGUAGCGAACAGG
rnacentral:rRNA from 1 species